UUUUAGGUGCUGGGGAUAUAGCAGGGAAUAAAGGAGACAAGUCUCUGCUCUCACGGAACAUAAGUGUUUGGGAGGUAGAAAAUUGAUAAUAAACAAAAGCAAGUAAGUGAACAAGAUGGUUGAGAAGUGCUACUAAAAAUAAUCUUUACAGUGUAUCUUCUAAAAAGUUGUUCACCAAUUCCCUUACAGCACCUAGACCAAUCCUACACUUAUUACUGUCCAUUGUGAUGCAAUGGGAGGAGCAUGAGGCUUACUGUGACUUGCUUUCCUAAAGAAAACUGGGGAAUGGGCAUUGGGGCACAUGCCUGUAAGCCCAGGAAUCAGGAAGCUGAAGCAAGAGGAUCAUGAGUUAAAGUAACAGGACCACAUGACAUGAGUAUCACCUUUAACAAAGGUUUAAAGUGGAAGAAACAACUGAAAAGAAGAAAAGUAAAUAAGCUGAACAUUACCCACCAAAUGUAAGCUAUUCCUCUGAGGGAAGUUUUUGUGGUUGCCAGAUUAAAGGAGACAACAGAUGCCAAAGACAAAAGAUGCAGUCUCAUCAUGAGAAAAACAUGACAUAAUUCCCACUUGAAAUGCCUGACCAAUACCCUUCAAAGCUGUCAAGGUUCACCAAAACCAAGGCAAGUCUGAAAAACUGACACAGCAACAUGGAGACUAGAGAUAUUAUGGCUGAAUGUAAUGUAGUAUACUCGUGGAACCUUGGAAGAGAAAGGGACAAAAGGAGAUCUGAAUAAAGUAUGGACUUUA